ACGUAGGGGGCGAGCGUUAUUCGGAAUUAAUGGGUGCAAAGGGAAUGUAGGCGGCCCUUCAAGUAGCGUGUCAAAGUCCAGUGCUCAACGCUGGGUGCGCACGCGAUACUGACGGGCUUGAGGGCUGGAGAGGUGAGCGGAAUUCCCGGUGGAGGGGGAAGAUGCUUAUAGAUCGGGAGGAACGCCAGCGGCGCAGGCGGCUCACGAGACAGUUUCGGAUGUUAUGGUACCAAAGCGUGGUGAGCAAAAAG
rnacentral:rRNA from 1 species